GUAAUUCCGGUGAAGAUGCCGGAUACCUGCGACAGGACGGAAAGACCCCAUGGAGCUUUACUGUAGCUUGACAUUGGGUCUUGGUACUACAUGUACAGGAUAGGUGGGAGGCUUUGAAACCAGGACGACAGUUUUGGCGGAGCCAUCCUUGGGAUACCACCCUUGUAGUACUGGGACUCUAACCAUAGGCCAUGAAUCUGGUCUUGGGACACUGUCAGGUGGGCAGUUUGACUGGGGCGGUCGCCUCCCAAAAGGUAACGGAGGCGCUCAAAGGUUCUCUCAGUACGG
rnacentral:rRNA from 1 species